UACGGAGGGUGCAAGCGUUAUCCGGAUUCACUGGGUUUAAAGGGUGCGUAGGAGGGCAGGGAAGUCAGUGGUGAAAUCUCCGGGCUUAACUCGGAAACUGCCGUUGAUACUCUCUGUCUUGAAUCCCGUGGAGGUGAGCGGAAUAUGUCAUGUAGCGGUGAAAUGCUUAGAUAUGACAUAGAACACCAAUUGCGAAGGCAGCUCACUACACGAAGAUUGACUCUGAGGCACGAAAGCGUGGGGAUCAAACAGG
rnacentral:rRNA from 1 species